rnacentral:lncRNA from 1 species
AGAGGUGGAGGGAUUUGUGGUCUCUGGAUUCCAGACGAUGGCGAAAUUGUGACUCGCACGAUAUCCAAAGCUGGCAAGAUGAGCCAACUGCUGCGGACAUCAAAGGUGGUGCGUGUCCAUUUAGGAGUUACAUUGCUCAUUGCUCAUGUCAAAGUGGGACAGAUGCAUGCAGCACUAGAGUCCAAGGUGUUAGUAGUCAGCGCAAAGGGUAAGUAUAACUUGUUAAACGCUUUAGGGAUUUACGGAAAAAAUGUCUUCAAACAAUACAUCAAGGAUAUAGAUGUUACACAAAAUACACCUUUUAAAAGAAGUGUUUGAGUAAGCUAGGUUAAUUGUUGACAUAUUCUAAUACUGGUCCAGGAAAUCAUUAGUGUCAUAUGAGAACAAAACUAAUCUUUGUCUAGGGAUGUUUGUCUAGGCUACAGUAUGUUGUACUUUCAUUUGUGCUUGUGCGUCAGUGUGUGGCGAUGACAUCUUUGAGCUGGAGGAUUGCUGUCUGAUGUGUCCCGCUGACUGUGGAGUUUGUCCUAUUCCCACCUCCAUCAGUGUGGCCAUUGGGCUCCUGUGGCCUUGUUCUGCAGUGGUUUUAUCUUGACGCUGGAGAUGAGAAUGCCGGUUCAACACCAGACAAAUAUUUUCUCUAUUAAGAGACCUAGAUAAAACGUGCAGAUGAUAUAAUGGGACAAUAAACUUACAGUGAAGGAAGGACUUGGGGUGGGCUCUUUUGAUUUGAACCAAAUAAGCAAUCAACUAACAUCUUAGCAACCACAAUAACAUCAUGCAUAGCAAUGCUCUAGCAGCCACCAAUGAUACCUUAGUAUGUGCAAGUUUUUCACAGAGAAGUAAUGUCCAAAUGGACAUGGUCUGAGGAGAAGCUAAGGAGAAAUUAGUCAAUUAUUUAGUGUUCACUAGCAAAACUGUUGUGUUUCCCCAGAAAUCUCUGCAUUUGUUUGAAGAGAAACUUUGCCUUUACUUGGAAAUCGUUUAAAUUCCCAUGAGAAAUGUUUAAGUUGCUCUCAAGACUUUUGCGUUUCCUCAAGAAAUAUUUUUUUUACGUUUUUUGUCAUUUUUUUUUUUUUGUCAAAGUUUUGCAUUUCCCUGAGAAACUUUGCUUUUACUUCAGAAACUUUAAAGCUCACUAUAGAACAUGUUUGUUCGCUCUCAAUACUUUUGUGUUUCUCUUUUGCAUUUACUUUUAAAAGUUUUGCAUUCUCUCACAAAAAGUAUUCUGUUUCCAAACGUGGCGUUCACUUAGAAAACUUUUGCGCUACUUUUGCGUUCUCUUGCAAAAGUACUUUGUUCUUUUGAGAAACUUUGCUUUGACUUGUAAAGCUUUGUGUUUG